rnacentral:rRNA from 1 species
GUGUCAGCCGCCGCGGUAAUACGUAGUGUGCAAGCGUUGUCCGGAAUUAUUGGGCGUAAAGAGCUCGUAGGCGGUUCGUCGCGUUGGCUGUGAAAACCUGAGGCUCAACCUCAGGCCUGCAGUCGAUACGGGCGGACUUGAGUUCGGCAGGGGAGACUGGAAUUCCUGGUGUAGCGGUGAAAUGCGCAGAUAUCAGGAGGAACACCGGUGGCGAAGGCGGGUCUCUGGGCCGAAACUGACGCUGAGGAGCGAAAGCGUGGGGAGCGAACAGGAUUAGAUACCCUGGUAGUCCACGCCGUAAACGUUGGGCGCUAGGUGUGGGGGCCAUUCCACGGUCUCCGUGCCGCAGCUAACGCAUUAAGCGCCCCGCCUGGGGAGUACGGCCGCAAGGCUAUAACUCAAAUGAAUUGACGGGG